UACGUAGGGGGCAAGCGUUAUCCGGAUUUACUGGGUGUAAAGGGAGCGCAGACGGCACUGCAAGUCUGGAGUGAAAGCCCGAGGCCCAACCACGGGACUGCUCUGGAAACUGCGGGGCUGGAGUGCAGGAGGGGUAAGCGGAAUUCCUAGUGUAGCGGUGAAAUGCGUAGAUAUUAGGAGGAACACCGGUGGCGAAGGCGGCUUACUGGACUGUAACUGACGUUGAGGCUCGAAGGCGUGGGGAGCAAACAGG
rnacentral:rRNA from 1 species